GCCUACGGGAGGCAGCAGUGGGGAAUAUUGCACAAUGGGGGAAACCCUGAUGCAGCGACGCCGCGUGAGUGAUGAAGUAUUUCGGUAUGUAAAGCUCUAUCAGCAGGGAAGAAAAUGACGGUACCUGACUAAGAAGCACCGGCUAAAUACGUGCCAGCAGCCGCGGUAAUACGUAUGGUGCAAGCGUUAUCCGGAUUUACUGGGUGUAAAGGGAGCGUAGACGGAGAGGCAAGUCUGAUGUGAAAACCCGGGGCUCAACCCCGGGACUGCAUUGGAAACUGUUUUUCCAGAGUGUCGGAGAGGCA
rnacentral:rRNA from 1 species